rnacentral:piRNA from 1 species
UGACAAGUUGUGCGUGUGCGUCCCC